AAGUCGUAACAAGGUUUCCGUAGGUGAACCUGCGGAAGGAUCAUUAAAUAAUUUAGAUGGCCUUUGCUAGUUUUCUAGCGAAUGGUUCAUUCUUUUUUACUGUGAACUGUUUUAAUUUUUCAGCGUCUGAGGAAUGUCUUUUAGCCAUAGGGAUAGGCUACUAGAAUGUUAACCGAGCUGAAAGUCAGGCUUAGGCCUGGUAUCCUAUUAAUUAUUUACCAAAAGAAUUCGGUAUUAUAAUUGUAACAUAAGCGUAAAAAACUUAUAAAACAACUUUUAACAACGGAUCUCUUGGUUCUC
rnacentral:misc_RNA from 1 species